ACGCUGGCGGCAGGCCUAACACAUGCAAGUCGAGCGGUAGCACAGAGAGCUUGCUCUCGGGUGACGAGCGGCGGACGGGUGAGUAAUGUCUGGGAAACUGCCUGAUGGAGGGGGAUAACUACUGGAAACGGUAGCUAAUACCGCAUAACGUCGCAAGACCAAAGUGGGGGACCUUCGGGCCUCAUGCCAUCAGAUGUGCCCAGAUGGGAUUAGCUAGUAGGUGGGGUAACGGCUCACCUAGGCGACGAUCCCUAGCUGGUCUGAGAGGAUGACCAGCCACACUGGAACUGAGACACGGUCCAGACUCCUACGGGAGGCAGCAGUGGGGAAUAUUGCACAAUGGGCGCAAGCCUGAUGCAGCCAUGCCGCGUGUGUGAAGAAGGCCUUCGGGUUGUAAAGCACUUUCAGCGGGGAGGAAGGCGAUAAGGUUAAUAACCUUGUCGAUUGACGUUACCCGCAGAAGAAGCACCGGCUAACUCCGUGCCAGCAGCCGCGGUAAUACGGAGGGUGCAAGCGUUAAUCGGAAUUACUGGGCGUAAAGCGCACGCAGGCGGUCUGUCAAGUCGGAUGUGAAAUCCCCGGGCUCAACCUGGGAACUGCAUUCGAAACUGGCAGGCUAGAGUCUUGUAGAGGGGGGUAGAAUUCCAGGUGUAGCGGUGAAAUGCGUAGAGAUCUGGAGGAAUACCGGUGGCGAAGGCGGCCCCCUGGACAAAGACUGACGCUCAGGUGCGAAAGCGUGGGGAGCAAACAGGAUUAGAUACCCUGGUAGUCCACGCCGUAAACGAUGUCGAUUUGGAGGUUGUGCCCUUGAGGCGUGGCUUCCGGAGCUAACGCGUUAAAUCGACCGCCUGGGGAGUACGGCCGCAAGGUUAAAACUCAAAUGAAUUGACGGGGGCCCGCACAAGCGGUGGAGCAUGUGGUUUAAUUCGAUGCAACGCGAAGAACCUUACCUGGUCUUGACAUCCACAGAACUUAGCAGAGAUGCUUUGGUGCCUUCGGGAACUGUGAGACAGGUGCUGCAUGGCUGUCGUCAGCUCGUGUUGUGAAAUGUUGGGUUAAGUCCCGCAACGAGCGCAACCCUUAUCCUUUGUUGCCAGCGGUCCGGCCGGGAACUCAAAGGAGACUGCCAGUGAUAAACUGGAGGAAGGUGGGGAUGACGUCAAGUCAUCAUGGCCCUUACGACCAGGGCUACACACGUGCUACAAUGGCAUAUACAAAGAGAAGCGACCUCGCGAGAGCAAGCGGACCUCAUAAAGUAUGUCGUAGUCCGGAUUGGAGUCUGCAACUCGACUCCAUGAAGUCGGAAUCGCUAGUAAUCGUAGAUCAGAAUGCUACGGUGAAUACGUUCCCGGGCCUUGUACACACCGCCCGUCACACCAUGGGAGUGGGUUGCAAAAGAAGUAGGUAGCUUAACCUUCGGGAGGGCGCUUACCACUUUGUGAUUCAUGACUGGG
rnacentral:rRNA from 1 species